GGGCAGUUACCAGAGUGGCCAAAUGGGUCUGACUGUAACUCAGAUAGCUUACGCUUACGGUGGUUCGAAUCCAUCACUGCCCACCA
rnacentral:tRNA from 1 species